CCUACGGGAGGCAGCAGUGAGGAAUAUUGGUCAAUGGGCUUACGCCUGAACCAGCCAAGUCGCGUGAGGGAAGACUGCCCUAUGGGUUGUAAACCUCUUUUGUCAGGGAGCAACGCCGGCUACGUGUAGCCGGACUGAGAGUACCUGAAGAAAAAGCAUCGGCGAACUCCGUGCCAGCAGCCGCGGUAAUACGGGGGAUGCGAGCGUUAUCCGGAUUUUUGGGGUUUAAAGGGUGCGUAGGCGCAAUGCCAAGUCAGCGGUAAAAUCGCGGGGCUCAACCUCGCUCCGCCGUUGAAACUGGCGUUCUUGAGUGGGCGAGAAGUAUGCGGAAUGCGUGGUGUAGCGGUGAAAUGCAUAGAUAUCACGCAGAACUCCGAUUGCGAAGGCAGCAUACCGGCGCCCAACUGACGCUGAAGCACGAAAGCGUGGGUAUCGAACAGGAUUAGAUACCCUUGUAGUC
rnacentral:rRNA from 1 species